rnacentral:tRNA from 2 species
CCUUCGAUAGCUCAGUUGGUAGAGCGGUGGACUGUAGACGGUUGAAACAACUCACCUGGAAAGUGAUAGUUCAGCACAUUUAAGUACAAUCACUUCUCUCUGGUGAGUGCGCACUCGCAGUAAUCCAUAGGUCACUGGUUCAAAUCCGGUUCGAAGGA